rnacentral:misc_RNA from 1 species
GGAAUAUUGGACAAUGGGCGAAAGCCUGAUCCAGCCAUGCCGCGUGUGUGAAGAAGGCCUUCGGGUCGUAAAGCACUUUAAGUUGGGAGGAAGGGCUCAUAGCGAAUACCUGUGAGUUUUGACGUUACCAACAGAAUAAGCACCGGCUAACUUCGUGCCAGCAGCCGCGGUAAUACGAAGGGUGCAAGCGUUAAUCGGAAUUACUGGGCGUAAAGCGCGCGUAGGUGGCUUGAUAAGUUGGAUGUGAAAUCCCCGGGCUCAACCUGGGAACUGCAUCCAAAACUGUCUGGCUAGAGUGCGGUAGAGGGUAGUGGAAUUUCCAGUGUAGCGGUGAAAUGCGUAGAUAUUGGAAGGAACACCAGUGGCGAAGGCGACUACCUGGACUGACACUGACACUGAGGUGCGAAAGCGUGGGGAGCAAACAGGA